UUCCCUUCUCUAGACUGUGUAUGUGUGGAGUAGCAGUUCUCUUUCUGGUGAACUCUGUAACACUAUCAGCAGAACUGAUCCUGUCAGCACGAAACGGUAAACGUACAUUUGAAGUUCUCCAAGUGAUUCUCCUUCCGUUUGAAUGGGUCUUUGCCUUAGGCUGCAUUAUUGCAAUCUUUGUAGUGGAGUUCUCAAAACAAAAAGACAAAGAAGAUUAUGAAGAAG